CGGAAGCGCGCUGUGCACAACCGGUCCCUACCAAAAAUCAUGGAACCAAGAUAAAAUAUUUUAAAACCAAACCUCGAAUUUAAUCAAAAUAACAUGGAAAAUGACAUUUUUGCCUUUUUGUGUCUUUUUUGCGACAUUUAGGACCAUAACCGCCGGCGAUCCAGAAGACACUAAUUCCACGCCUGUUGGGGGAGGCCCUCCUAACAAGUUAAACAUAGCUGGACUCCAUGGUAAUGAUGCUGAUGCUGAUGAAGCAGCCCCCAUCCGGGAUAGAAGCCGGGAACGUUUUCAUAAUGAAAUGGAGUCUCCUCCCUUUUAACUUUAACAGUAAAAACAUCUUUUAACACCUUUUUUUUUUAAUUGAGACGGUUUGCCUUUUAAAGCCUUUACCGUUAAAGUUAAGUGAGUAGAGUAAUACAUUUUAUGGUUGUUACAAAAAAGCAUUACUUAUAUGUAUAUGAAAGACAUAUUGUCAGAUUUAUGAGUAAUUAUCAAAGUCUGUUUGUUUUGAUAAUUGAAUAGGUAUAAAGUUCUGUAUUUAACAUCUGGCAUGAUCGAUCACAGGUCAAUGUGACGAUGUGAGAGCAGACCAAAUAGCAGAACCACGUCUCCAAAUGGUUCUGCUUCAGUGUUUGGUUUGCUCAUGAGAGCAAAGUGUUAAAAGAGCAAAAAAACAAAGAAACUUAACAAACCUGGUCAGCUUUAAAACUGGUCACCAACCCCGAGAAAAAAAAACAUUUUUUCUAUUUUAUUUUAUUUUACCUGAUUCUGAAGAAGAAAAAACAAAUGCUUUCUCUCCAGCACAUCUGGCACAUUUUGACACGUUUCAAGUCGCUCAGUCACAUUUCAAAAAUACAUCCGCUGUUUUCUUAAAGCGGCUUUGUCGACCGCUAAAU